UUUCUUUUUUCAUUUUUGGUUAUUAAACAGGAAGUAGAGAUAGAGUAUGUAGAAGGUUAUGAUGAACUUGAAGAGGAAGAUGACAUGGAGGAUUUUGUUAAUUUUAGAUACAUUUCAAUUCUAUUUUUAUGUAUUAGUCUAUUAUUUUUCUUAUAUGUUGGAGGUGAAAAGUUGUGCAUGUGGCGUUGGAGCUCUGUGGUUGAGUUUAGAAAAAUGAAAUAAACUAGGAAAUGAACGCAUUUGAAAAUCAAAAGCAUAACAGAGUUUGGAAGCUUUGAAGUGAAGAGGCAGAAGCAGCUGCUCAGAGAAGGGUGAAACGGAAGAAUAAGUUAGCUUCAAUGAAAUCUGAGAAGGAUUCUGUUGAUCUUAAAUCAAAGAAGGCAAAGGUCCUUGUUGAGACUGCCUAUACAGAGCCUGUUGAGCAACAGAAGGAAAAAGUAAUUCAUGGAACGAUGAUGAUUUUCAAAAGUUUGAUCAUCUUCAGGAAUCGGAGCCCAUUAGUUCUGCUGAUCAAGUAACUAGUGAGAUUGACCAUAUUCCUACAACUUCUGGUCGAUGUGAGGAGGCAGUUGUUAAUGAAAUUAAUCAAUUUCGGGAUUUAUUGUCAGAGAUUGACUGUAAAAUUGGAAAGCUUACACUUGCUAGACUGUUGACUGCUGUUGACUCCUUACCAUCUCCACGUGCUAAUAAUAUGGUUAAUACUGAAGAAAUUCUUCAACUUUAUGAUGAUUUGAUGAGGUUGGAUCUAACACAUUAUCUUUAUUACAAGGAUGAGCAUAGUCUAGUGCUACUUCAUCAGGGAUACUAUCCGAUUGGAAUACCUUGCCCUUCUCCUUAAACAAUUAACAGAACCGCUACGAUCUCUGCCCAAGGCUGAAGCUGUUGAGAAAGUUGUGGAAUUUAUGAAUACAUAUUCUAUUAGUCAAGAAGACUUCGAUACUAUUGUAGAGUUGUCAAAAUUCAAGGAAGCCAUGGAAUAGACAUAAAGGGGCUAACAAAAUGAGAUUGAGAACGUGCAAUGGAGUGGGGUGGUAGGCAUAAUAUAGCUGGAGUGAAACGAAAGAGAGGUACCACCAACCAUGAUUUUUCUUUUCUUUUUCCAAUUCACUGUUUCCUUCCAAAACACUAAGGACCCAGAAUCUAGUUGGUGCUCUUAGAGGGAUCUUACACUUAAAAUACAGGUUUAAAUUAAUCUUUUUUUUCUUAUUUAUCCUUUUAUUUUUGGAUCAAG